rnacentral:misc_RNA from 1 species
CUGAGUGCGGGCCCUCUGGGUCCAACCUCCCACCCGUGUUUACCGUACCUAGUUGCUUCGGCGGGCCCGCCGUUCAACGGCCGCCGGGGGGCAUCUGCCCCCGGGCCCGCGCCCGCCGAAGACACCCUCGAACGCUGUCUGAAGGUUGCAGUCUGAGCUUGAUUAGCAAAUCAAUCA